CGCCGUCGCUGCUGCCACCGAGUGAGCGACUUGACGCCGGCCUGUCAAGUCGCCCGAUCGUUCCCGGACGAUCUCGCGGAGCACGCGAAAAAAAAAAUUUCGCAAUGAUGGUUACGUGAGACGUCUCGCUGCCGCCGCCGCCGCCGCCACAGCACACAAUUUUGCUGGCGCUCGCGUCGGUAGCGUUGGUCGUCUCCGUAGUCGGCGCGACAUUAACGCCCAGAGCACCGAACUUUCAAUACUUCGAAAGACCUAAGUAUAGAUAUCCGUAUUAUGAUGAACAUGGCCGCGGUCGGCUCUUGUACGGUUACGGUGGACCGGACUUGUAUCAAUACAAGUCCUACUCGCCGUUGGAGGGCAUUCAUUGAGAACUGCAAUGAAUUAACUUACCAUCACCGCGCCGUCACCGUCUCAGCCAUCACCAUGGCACCGUGAUGGCGGUCUUUUCAUUUCACCCGCCGUUCAGACGUGUCCCAGUAGUUUUCGGUGUUUUAACAUUAAGCGUGUAAUUUUUGUAAACCUACAAAUACACAAUAUCAUUAGACAAAGAAUAGUAUUUUUUUAAAUUAAAUUUAAAAAAAAAACAAACUAAAAAAAAUCCUUUUAAAUUUAAUUUAAUAAUAAUAAUAAUAAUAAUAAUAAUAAUGUUGGAUUAUAUAAAAUUAGAAUAUAACUAAGAGAAAUCCUCUGAUGAGGCUCGCUGGUGGUUCGAAUGUUACCAAAAACUGACAGCAGACACGUUUGCAUUCUUUUACGAGUUUAAUAUAAAUGUUUAAAAAAUUCGAUGAAGGGCUUUUAAAAAAAAAAAAAUACAAAGACCAAUAUCGAUUCUCGAAAUUCGUAAACGAAUAGCCUAAUAGAAAAAAUAACGGUCUGCCGUCCGGUUGUAUCUUAAUAAGUAGAAUCGUAUAUUAUGUUAAAUUUUAAGCAAAAUAAAUAAAACGACGAUAAUCGUAAA